AGACCCGAAACCCGGUGAUCUAGCCAUGGGCAGGUUGAAGGUUGGGUAACACUAACUGGAGGACCGAACCGACUAAUGUUGAAAAAUUAGCGGAUGACCUGUGGCUGGGGGUGAAAGGCCAAUCAAACCGGGAGAUAGCUGGUUCUCCCCGAAAGCUAUUUAGGUAGCGCCUCGUGAAUUCAUCUCCGGGGGUAGAGCACUGUUUCGGCUAGGGGGUCAUCCCGACUUACCAACCCGAUGCAAACUGCGAAUACCGGAGAAUGUUAUCACGGGAGACACACGGCGGGUGCUAACGUCCGUCGUGAAGAGGGAAACAACCCAGACCGCCAGCUAAGGUCCCAAAGUCAUGGUUAAGUGGGAAACGAUGUGGGAAGGCCCAGACAGCCAGGAUGUUGGCUUAGAAGCAGCCAUCAUUUAAAGAAAGCGUAAUAGCUCACUGGUCGAGUCGGCCUGCGCGGAAGAUGUAACGGGGCUAAACCAUGCACCGAAGCUGCGGCAGCGACACUCAGGUGUUGUUGGGUAGGGGAGCGUUCUGUAAGCCUGCGAAGGUGGCCUGUGAGGGUUGCUGGAGGUAUCAGAAGUGCGAAUGCUGACAUAAGUAACGAUAAAGCGGGUGAAAAGCCCGCUCGCCGGAAGACCAAGGGUUCCUGUCCAACGUUAAUCGGGGCAGGGUGAGUCGACCCCUAAGGCGAGGCCGAAAGGCGUAGUCGAUGGGAAACGGGUUAAUAUUCCCGUACUUGGUGUUACUGCGAAGGGGGGACGGAGAAGGCUAUGUUGGCCGGGCGACGGUUGUCCCGGUUUAAGCGUGUAGGUGUGUGUUCCAGGUAAAUCCGGUUCACUUUAACACUGAGGCGUGAUGACGAGGCACUACGGUGCUGAAGCAACAAAUGCCCUGCUUCCAGGAAAAGCCUCUAAGCAUCAGGUAACAUCAAAUCGUACCCCAAACCGACACAGGUGGUCAGGUAGAGAAUACCAAGGCGCUUGAGAGAACUCGGGUGAAGGAACUAGGCAAAAUGGUGCCGUAACUUCGGGAGAAGGCACGCUGACACGUAGGUGAAGUGAUUUACUCAUGGAGCUGAAGUCAGUCGAAGAUACCAGCUGGCUGCAACUGUUUAUUAAAAACACAGCACUGUGCAAACACGAAAGUGGACGUAUACGGUGUGACGCCUGCCCGGUGCCGGAAGGUUAAUUGAUGGGGUCAGCGCAAGCGAAGCUCCUGAUCGAAGCCCCGGUAAACGGCGGCCGUAACUAUAACGGUCCUAAGGUAGCGAAAUUCCUUGUCGGGUAAGUUCCGACCUGCACGAAUGGCGUAAUGAUGGCCAGGCUGUCUCCACCCGAGACUCAGUGAAAUUGAACUCGCUGUGAAGAUGCAGUGUACCCGCGGCAAGACGGAAAGACCCCGUGAACCUUUACUAUAGCUUGACACUGAACAUUGAGCCUUGAUGUGUAGGAUAGGUGGGAGGCUUUGAAGUGUGGACGCCAGUCUGCAUGGAGCCGACCUUGAAAUACCACCCUUUAAUGUUUGAUGUUCUAACGUGGACCCGUGAUCCGGGUUGCGGACAGUGUCUGGUGGGUAGUUUGACUGGGGCGGUCUCCUCCUAAAGAGUAACGGAGGAGCACGAAGGUUGGCUAAUCCUGGUCGGACAUCAGGAGGUUAGUGCAAUGGCAUAAGCCAGCUUGACUGCGAGCGUGACGGCGCGAGCAGGUGCGAAAGCAGGUCAUAGUGAUCCGGUGGUUCUGAAUGGAAGGGCCAUCGCUCAACGGAUAAAAGGUACUCCGGGGAUAACAGGCUGAUACCGCCCAAGAGUUCAUAUCGACGGCGGUGUUUGGCACCUCGAUGUCGGCUCAUCACAUCCUGGGGCUGAAGUAGGUCCCAAGGGUAUGGCUGUUCGCCAUUUAAAGUGGUACGCGAGCUGGGUUUAGAACGUCGUGAGACAGUUCGGUCCCUAUCUGCCGUGGGCGCUGGAGAACUGAGGGGGGCUGCUCCUAGUACGAGAGGACCGGAGUGGACGCAUCACUGGUGUUCGGGUUGUCAUGCCAAUGGCACUGCCCGGUAGCUAAAUGCGGAAGAGAUAAGUGCUGAAAGCAUCUAAGCACGAAACUUGCCCCGAG
rnacentral:rRNA from 1 species